UGAGUAACCUGCCCUUAACUCUGGGAUAAGCCUGGGAAACUGGGUCUAAUACCGGAUAUGACUCCUCAUCGCAUGGUGGGGGGUGGAAAGCUUUAUUGUGGUUUUGGAUGGACUCGCGGCCUAUCAGCUUGUUGGUGAGGUAAUGGCUCACCAAGGCGACGACGGGUAGCCGGCCUGAGAGGGUGACCGGCCACACUGGGACUGAGACACGGCCCAGACUCCUACGGGGAGGCAG
rnacentral:rRNA from 1 species